GCUCCAUAGAAACAUAUGUUCCCAGGUAUUUGGUAAAAGAUGAACAAAGAGAUUGAUGACAUGAAAAAGUGGGACUUUGCUUUUUGUAUUCACAGCAAUCUCUCAGAAAACAAAAGACAUUACUCAAAAAAGAGUGCCAAACUACACAAUAGGCAAACAGAACAAAAGAGCCAAGAACCUGAGGCCACUAUGCGCCAGUGAGCAGAUCUAUAUCUAUUCAUUACAUUGCCACACAUAGCAGUGGCAAGUGCAAAUGAUAAGCUUUUAAGGAAAACAGCUCACAUGAGGUUGCUUCCUGACUUACAACAAAACCUGUGGUUAAAAUUGCAAGGCAGGUGAAGGUUGGCAACAGCCAGCACAUGCGACAGCUGAGUUGAGUGUAAAGCAAAGGAAGAGUUUCAUCUGGCAAGGUAAAGAAAUGAAGAACAAUUUGAAGGAAAUGGGAACAAAAACCACUCCAACAACCGGACUGAAGAACAGUCUUUUUUGAUAUGAGUGUCCAGAACUUCAAGAAGUGCUGAGAAUAUGACCUGGGUGGAUACGACAUUGUGCCUUUGAAAGCUUUCUUAAAGGAGAGUUGUAAAUUCCUUCCCUAGUUUUUAUGUACCUGAAUAUGAUUGAAAUGUCUAGAUAGUGAUCCACUAUUAAAACCUCAGACAAAAAGCCUGCAGGAUUCCCACAUUGAUUGUCAUCACCUGGAAGAACUUCCUUUCCUCUGCCUUUUUUUUUCUUUUCACAGUUCUUGAGAUGAAGCUAGUUCAUUUCAGAAUGGUAAGUAUGUUGUAGUGGAAAUGCUAAGUCAUGGCUUGCACCAGUGAUGGAGCAGCUGGUGGGAAGGCAGGGCCAACCCAGGGAAGCUUAGGUGCAUGCAAUGCACCUGAGUGACUGAAAGGGGCAGAGCCAGGAUCCACCCCUUCCCAGACGUCAUUUAAGGGUUGGCAGUGGAGGUAAGGGGGAUCUUGCUGGGGUUUUCUAUGUACCUGAGGCCUUCUGAAGGUAAGCAGCUUCUUUAUUUUUGUGCCUACAGCUGUUGUGUUUGAGAAAGUCCUCACUUGCUGUAGCCUGGGACAUUGCUACUCUGCAGUCAUUGCUGCACUGCAUUGUGUUAUGUACGUAAAAUAUGAAAUAGACAAAAUAUAUAUCCUGGAGGUGUUCUGCUAAAUCCACAGUGGUUGUUAUGGCAAGUUGAAGAGAAAAAGUCUCUAGGGCUUCCCUCAUGGCAACAAUUGCAAGACACUUCUUAAUGAAGAGAAAGAGAAUUUUGUAUUCAAUGUGUGCCCUUAUAAGCGUUAAUGUUAAUGAAAAUUAUGUGGAUGUUCCAAUGGAUGUUACAAGGCCCUUGAUCAAGUUAAGAAUGUCUACAGGAAAAGGAGCAAAAUAAUAGUGUCUGUACGAUGUUUUUCCUUCUCACAGUACUCCAAAAGGUAUUUUUAAAUAUCGACAGUAGUCUUGUAGUUUUACAACUAUGGGUAUUUUCAAACCCCACGUAUUUCAUUAGGCAACACCACCUGUAUUUAAAAUGUCAGACUCAAGCUACAUUUCCCAGUGUGAAAGCUGAAUACCAGUGCAUGAAGGAAAGUUUUAUAGCGUCAAUUAACUGCAACCAUUUGUAGUACUGACAAAGAGCUGCAUAAAAUGUUUAUUCUGACUUUCAGAUGCAAGUAUUGUGCAUCAUUUUUAUAACGUGCAAGCCAACAAUGAUAUACUUUGUUACUGCAGGUCAGAACUACUUCAACCUAGUAGAUAAAUCAAGAAACUGGCAUUAGCAGUUCCAGAACUUGCAAUGCACAGAAGAAGCGAGGACAUAGAGGAGCGCUAUCAAACUUUGACAAAAACAGGAUCUUUGAUAUCACUGGAGUACAUAAGCAAUUGAGGAUGAAGAGUGAGAUGUUUGGCAUGGGGGUGCACACAGCCUGUUACAAGUCUUAUCAGUACAUCUGUGGAGGCACAACACACUGCAUGGAGGAUUUGGUGUGUACGUGUGUCAAGUUAAUGGAAGCUGUAAGCUCUGCCCUGGAAAUGACUCUUGAUGGAAACAGCAAAAGAAUUGCUAAUGGGCAAGAAAAGCUUUGAUGAGCUGGAUUGGGAAACCCCGUUACUUAUUCCAAUACUUGGAUGCUCUAACAUUGACAGAAAUUGGUGAGAAGGUUCAACCUCUACUGCCAUACCAUCAACAUGCACCUCUGAUGUCAGAUCAGCAUGAUGAAACAGGAGGCGUUACUUUUGGAGCAGCCCUCAUAGAUCACCAUGUGCAGUAAAGCUCAACAGAGAAUUCUCUGACUCGGAUGAAGGAGACCAAAAAAAAGUGCAGUUUGUGCUAAUGUGAGUGAAAGUGGCAAUGUGCUGUACAUGAUCUGCUGGUCUGCUAGCUUCUUUUUCCACCUGUGGGGCUCAUUGCAGAAUAUAUCUUCUUUCCAGAUUUUGAUGAAGAGCUUGGAGGAAUCUAAAAAUGUAGAAGAGUUUAGUACCUUUUCUUAGGUUGGUUAUGAAGGGCUUUCAUUUCUGGACAUUAAUUCAGACAGUGAAUAUUUACGCUUGGCUAAAAUCUUUUGUUUGUGUAUUGAGUGACAACAGCCACAGAACUUUUUUUAAAAUACAAAUAAAUAAAUAAAUAAAUGCCAUUUUGUGGAUGGAAAAUUAAAUCCUAAAGACCAACAUGGCAGCUGGCCAACUGGUAAUCAUGCUGAGCCUUCAGAAUUAUCCCUGGCAUUCGUGCACAAAGCAAGCAGAUGAAGCUUGCCAGGCAGGAGCUAGCAAACAAGCAGUACGCUGAGCAAAUACGAUACAGGGAGGGGAAAAAAAAAAAAAUCUACAGUGGCAAAGGGAAAGCUGUAAUUCCAGGACAUCAUUUUCAGCGGUGAUAUAUGCAGCAGCUUGCGGUAGUGGCAGUGAAGAAAAAUUCCAGAGAUGAAAAGGCUAGAACAACCCCUUAAUCUCCUUCGUGCCUGUCCUGUGUGACAAGAAAGUCUCCCUUUGAAAUGAGAAGAGAUACAGCCUAUAAGAGGAAAGUUUGAGCAUAAAGAGAUUGGGCAACACUCAGAGCUGUAAGACUGAAUUCCUGCCUGGAAAAUCUCUGCAAUUACAGUCAAGUGACAACACCUUUGCACUGAAGACACCAUAUGUGCCAGAAACUGCUACACAAUGCCAUAAGCAGCAAAGAAGCUGAGCAGAAAGUGACCUGAAACAGGCGCUUAGGCACCAAAUAUAAAGACACAGAGGGAGAGCCAAAUGGAGUAAGUACCUGCUAAAUACUGCUAUUGAAAUCGACAGCUAUCUAUGAAUCUCAAUAUUUACUGUUGAUUAUAAGAACUAGUAUCUACAAAAUUAAAGUACGUAGUGGGAGAAAGUAUGACAUUUAACUUGCAGAAUUCCUUUCACAUACAGAACUGGUGCUUCUUUUUACAAAGAACAGGAGUAGGAAAGAGGAAAAAGAUAACAUUGAUUUGCAUGUGUAUCAUCUUACUGAGGAGGAACAACAGAUUAGCUAAAUUACAAAGGAGGAAAACUAUUUUGCUGCAUAUAAGCAAAGAUUUCUAUAAUGAGCUUGAGUAAGCAGGAGAGCAGUGCUGGCUUGCAUGUGGAUUUCUGCCCACUGCAAACAGCAUGGGCAACUGUACCUUUUACCUAAAUCAGCUGGAAAGUUCUAUUAUGUUGAGCAGAGAUUCACAUUCACACUGUUUGAACUUGUACAAGAUAUCAGAAAAAAAUGGGAAAAAAAGUGCUUUGAAGACAUCCGGUAAACAAUUUUUUUUGAAGGAAGCUGUUGCUUUUUCCUGCAUCAUUUCGCUCUUAUUUUUCAUUGUUCUUCCCCUUCUGUGUCUUAAUUUAUAUUUUGAUGAAGCAAAAAAAAAAAAAAAAAAAACUCUUGAAAAAAAAAAAAAGGGGAAAAUGGUCAUAGAUAUGAUUCCUACAAUAAUAUCUGCUUACACACUGGCAUGGUAGUAGUUACAAAUUUGGAUAUCACAGCUUAAAAGGCUGUAUGUCCUUCUGUGAGACUGGAAUGCCAAAAUCUGUGUGCUCUAGUCUCUACUUUCAAAUAAAGUCUCCUGAACUCUUGUUUUUUUAAAAAUGAGGCUGCAGGGAAUUCUCCUACUUAAGAGAUAAUCUAGAUAAAAAUAAUUUUUUAAAAAAAGGAUAAUCUAAUUCAAUAAAAAGAUGUGAAGAUUUCAUCUGCAAGACUUCUCCCUAGAGAAGAGAGCAGCUUCUCUUUAAAUAAACAAACAUGUUGAUUUAUUCCUAAUUACUCUGGGUAGAUAUUUUUGCCAAUCAAACAUAACAGGUAUACAUUGCAGAACAACUCCAUGAUGAAUUAAGAGGAUGCAACCGAAGAAGAACAAACAGGUCAUCACAUUUAAGCAAGAAUAAUGAACUGCAAAAAUAAAAGGUGAGGAAGGACAAUCUAAGUAACAGCAUGGCAGAAAAUGAUUUGAAUGUUAACACAGAUAAUAGGCUGGAUGGGAGUAAACAAUGUUAAGCAGCUGUAAAAAAAAAAAAAAAAAGGCAAAGGCUGCAAUUAAUAGCCAGUGUUAUCACCCACAAAACAUUCAGUAAAUCUUUAGCUGUUUUUUGAGCUGCUUAUUCCCCAGCUAUUAUUGGAUGUUACAUCCAGUUUUAGGUACUUCAAGGAAGGUAUGGCCUAUUGAAAAAAAAUCAGAGGAAGACAACAGUAAUUACCAGGCUUCACCUAAGUAUAAUCAUAAGGAAAGGCUGAAGUAAUUGUCUUAAUUUUAGUCCAAGCUUCAUUUGCACUGCAAAUAUAUUAUAAAUACACCUUGGGAAAGGUAGGGGGGCAACAGGAGAAAAUGGGAAAAAAUUCUCCUCUAUGAUUGCAGAUUGCUCUCCUGCUCUGAAGCAGCUGCGAUCAAAAAUUGUUUUCAAAGUACCUUCGCCUCACCUCUGUGCUGAAUGAGCCUACAGAAAAAGCUGGCACGAGCUUGAUUUGAAAUGAAAUAACUCUCAUUUUAGAGUGAACUGUGUGAUGAAGAUGUAGUUAUAAAAUAAAUAAUGAUUCAGUU